rnacentral:rRNA from 1 species
AGAGUUUGAUCCUGGCUCAGGAUGAACGCUGGCGGUGUGCCUAAUACAUGCAAGUCGAUCGGGCGUAGCAAUACGUCAGAGGCGUACGGGUGAGUAACACGUAGGUAACCUACCUUUAAGACUGGGAUACCCAGACGAAAGUUUGGCUAAUACCGGAUAACAACAUUUGAGACAUCUCUUUUGUUUGAAAGGCGCUGCAAGGCGCCACUUUUAGAUGGACCUGCGUCGCAUUAGCUAGUUGGUGAGAUAAAAGCCCACCAAGGCUGGGAUGCGUAGCCGAUCUGAGAGGAUGACCGGCCACAAUGGGACUGAGACACGGCCCAUACUCCUACGGGAGGCAGCAGUAGGGAGUUUUCGGCAAUGGGGAAACCCUGACCGAGCAACACCGCGUGAGUGAAUGAAGGUCUUCGGAUCGUAAAGCUCUGUUACGAGGGACGAAUGAUCGCUUUAGGAAAUGAGAGCGGUUUGACGGUACCUCGCCAGAAAGCGACGGCUAACUACGUGCCAGCCGCCGC